UGUAUAAUGGGUCAGCGACUUAUAUUCUGUAGCAAGGUUAACCGUAUAGGGGAGCCGCAGGGAAACCGAGUCUUAACUGGGCGUUAAGUUGCAGGGUAUAGACCCGAAACCCGGUGAUCUAGCCAUGGGCAGGUUGAAGGUUGGGUAACACUAACUGGAGGACCGAACCGACUAAUGUUGAAAAAUUAGCGGAUGACUUGUGGCUGGGGGUGAAAGGCCAAUCAAACCGGGAGAUAGCUGGUUCUCCCCGAAAGCU
rnacentral:rRNA from 1 species